rnacentral:rRNA from 1 species
GAUGAACGCUGGCGGCGUGCCUAAUACAUGCAAGUCGAGCGAACAGACGAUGAGCUUGCUCCUCUGACGUUAGCGGCGGACGGGUGAGUAACACGUGGAUAACCUACCUAUAAGACUGGGAUAACUUCGGGAAACCGGAGCUAAUACCGGAUAAUAUAUUGAACCGCAUGGUUCAAUAGUGAAAGACGGUUUUGCUGUCACUUAUAGAUGGAUCCGCGCCGCAUUAGCUAGUUGGUAAGGUAACGGCUUACCAAGGCGACGAUGCGUAGCCGACCUGAGAGGGUGAUCGGCCACACUGGAACUGAGACACGGUCCAGACUCCUACGGGAGGCAGCAGUAGGGAAUCUUCCGCAAUGGGCGAAAGCCGGACGAAGCAACGCCGCGGGAUGGAUGAAGGUCUUCGGAUCGUAAAACUCUGUUAUUAGGGAAGAACAAAUGUGUAAGUAACUAUGCACGUCUUGACGGAACCUAAUCAGAAAGCCACGGCUAACUACGUG